rnacentral:rRNA from 1 species
UCGGGAAUCUUGCACAAUGGGGGAAACCCUGAUGCAGCGACGCCGCGUGGAGGAUGAAGGAUCUAGGUCUGUAAACUCCUUUUAUCGGGAAAGACUUAGGACGGUACCCGAUGAAUAAGCACCGGCUAACUACGUGCCAGCAGCCGCGGUAAGACGUAGGGUGCGAGCGUUGUCCGGAUUCACUGGGCGUAAAGAACGCGUAGGCGGCCUGUUAAGUGUGAAGGGAAAUCUCCAGGGCUCAACCCGGAA